rnacentral:rRNA from 1 species
AGGUAGAUAGGUUCGAGGUGGAAGCAUGGCGACAUGUGGAGCUGACGAAUACUAAUCGAUCGAGGACUUAACCCAA